rnacentral:rRNA from 1 species
GGACCUUCGGGCCUUUCGCGAUUGNAUGAACCCAGGUGGGAUUACCUAGUUGGUGGGGUAAUGGCUCACCAAGGCGACGAUCCCUAGCUGGUCUGAGAGGAUGAUCAGCCACACUGGAACUGAAACACGGUCCAGACUCCUACGGNAGNNAGCAGUGGGGAAUAUUGCACAAUGGGGGAAACCCUGAUGCAGCCAUGCCGCGUGUGUGAAGAAGGCCUUCGGGUUGUAAAGCACUUUCAGCGAGGAGGAAAGGUUGGCGCCUAAUACGUGUCAACUGUGACGUUACUCGCAGAAGAAGCACCGGCUAACUCCGUGCCAGCAGCCGCGGUAAUACGGAGGGUGCAAGCGUUAAUCGGAAUUACUGGGCGUAAAGCGCACGCAGGCGGUUGGAUAAGUUAGAUGUGAAAGCCCCGGGCUCAACCUGGGAAUUGCAUUUAAAACUGUCCAGCUAGAGUCUUGUAGAGGGGGGUAGAAUUCCAGGUGUAGCGGUGAAAUGCGUANAGAUCUGGAGGAAUACCGGUGGCGAAGGCGGCCCCCUGGACAAAGACUGACGCUCAGGUGCGAAAGCGUGGGGAGCAAACAGGAUUANAUACCCUGGUAGUCCACGCCGUAAACGAUGUCGAUUUGGAGGCUGUGUCC